rnacentral:ribozyme from 2 species
GAAAAAAAAAAAAAAAAAAAAAAAAAAAAA